rnacentral:rRNA from 1 species
GUUGAACGCUGGCGGUAUGCUUAACACAUGCAAGUCGAACGGCAGCACGAGAAAGCUUGCUUUCUUGGUGGCGAGUGGCGGACGGGUGAGUAAUACGUAGGAAUCUGCCCUAAAGCGGGGAUAACCCGAGGAAACUCGGGCUAAUACCGCAUAAUCUCUUCGGAGCAAAGCUGGGGACCUUCGGGCCUAGCACUUUAGGAUGAGCCUACGUCGGAUUAGCUAGUUGGUAGGGUAAAGGCCUACCAAGGCGACGAUCCGUAGCUGGUCUGAGAGGAUGAUCAGCCACACUGGGACUGAGACACGGCCCAG